rnacentral:rRNA from 1 species
UACGUAGGCAGCAAGCGUUGUUCGGAGUUACUGGGCGUAAAGGGUGUGUAGGCGGUCCUCUAAGUUUGGUGUGAAAUCUCCCGGCUCAACUGGGAGGGUGCGCCGAAAACUGGAGGGCUAGAGUACUGGAUGGGAGAGUGGAAUUCCUGGUGUAGCGGUGAAAUGCGUAGAUAUCAGGAGGAACACCGGUGGUGUAGACGGCUCUCUGGACAGUAACUGACGCUGAGACGCGAAAGCGUGGGUAGCAAACAGG